rnacentral:rRNA from 1 species
CCUACGGGGGGCAGCAGUGAGGAAUAUUGGUCAAUGGACGCAAGUCUGAACCAGCCAUGCCGCGUGCAGGAAGACGGCUCUAUGAGUUGUAAACUGCUUUUGUACGAGGAUAAACGCAGUUACGUGUAUCUGUUUGAAAGUACCGUACGAAUAAGGAUCGGCUAACUCCGUGCCAGCAGCCGCGGUAAUACGGAGGAUCCAAGCGUUAUCCGGAUUUAUUGGGUUUAAAGGGUGCGUAGGCGGGAUGUCAAGUUAGCUGUGAAAUGUCGGGGCUCAACCCCGGCCUUGCAGCUGAUACUGGCGUGCUUGAGAGGGCGUGAGGUAGGCGGAAUGCGUGGUGUAGCGGUGAAAUGCUUAGAUAUGACGCAGAACCCCGAUUGCGAAGGCAGCUUAC